rnacentral:rRNA from 1 species
GUAGGUGGCAAGCGUUAUCCGGAAUUAUUGGGCGUAAAGCGCGCGCAGGCGGUUCUUUAAGUCUGAUGUGAAAGCCCACGGGCUCAACCGUGGAGGGUCAUUGGAAACUGGAGAACUUGAGUACAGAAGAGGAAAGCGGAAUUCCACGUGUAGCGGUGAAAUGCGUAGAGAUGUGGAGGAACACCAGUGGCGAAGGCGGCUUUCUGGUCUGUAACUGACGCUGAGGCGCGAAAGCGUGGGGAGCAAACAGGAUUAGAUACCCUGGUAGUCCACGCCGUAAACGAUGAGUGCUAAGUGUUAGGGGGGUUUCCGCCCCUUAGUGCUGCAGCUAACGCAUUAAGCACUCCGCCUGGGGAGUACGGCCGCAAGGCUG